UGGCAAACUAUUAUUAAUGAUUAUUUAUUAACUUUCAAAUGACUUAAACAUCUAAAUAGGUAUCAGGUGCUGGUGCAAUUUAUCCUUAACCCAGCUGUAGGGAAUACUCAGCAUGACUAAUGAUUUCAGAUGUGCAACAACACAGAACAGGCAGCACAGCAAAAUAAGUCACUUAGUGUGUAUAAGAACAAAAGCAAGACUCUAGCUUAUGAAAAACAGGUUUGCACUGCACAUCCCUGUAAAACAUGGAGACAAUAAUGGAAUGUGACCCAUCCGAUGAAUGCGAGGAUGAAACAUCAUUCUUGAAUGUGAAACGACCUGGUCGAAAGUCUAGUUUUUUUGUGAAACACAGCACACCUUUUACAUCUGAAGUCUCAGAGUUAACAGCCCACAUGCUUAGUGAAAUAGAUAUGAGUCAUGAAAGCCUCCGAUCUAGAAAAACAUAUCAAGGUUCAAUAGCAUCCAAGCAAAUACUCCAUUCUGGAAUUAGUUCAGCUAGGGGAACCCUUUCACCGGUGCAGUCUUUGAAUGAAGAAGAUUCCUCCUCCUCCUCUCUGAGCCUACACCUGCCUGAACCCAUAACAUUACCUACCAAGACAGACAGGAGGGCUAGAAAGAUUAGAAUGAAAUCUAUAGAUGGAGAUGAAGUUUCUAUUCAGCAUUUAAAAGAAAAGAAAAGGAGCAAAGCACGGAAGUUCAGUGAGUUUCAUGAAGAUAAAUCACGUGAUAAGAAGAAUACACCACAAAAGAGGGCCAGAAAAUCACAGGAGAAAAAGAAAUCGUUGGAUGGAGAUUCGACCCAGGAUUUACAACAAAUGCGUAAUCGUAAAAUAAAAAAGAUAAAGGGCUUAAGUCAGUUUUCCCUGAUUGGAACACUGCUGAUGAAGGUGUAGGGAACAUGUCACCCUCCACAGAAAAAAACUUGCGUGUCAGAAAUUGGGAAAUCCGUCAGUUGAAAAACAUUGAUGAAGCAACUAAACAUGAACUGGUUAUAGAAUGAAGAAACCUGUUGAAGCUGUUUGCAACUUAUAAUAGUUGACAUCUGUCUGGGUUUGACUCUUCAAACAUGUUGUUUUCUACUUUGGACUUGAUGUGUAUGCUGUGUGGGGUGAUGUGUGUCCGGUGACCAUAAAUUCUACAAUCAAAUUGUAUCAAUGCAGUGAUGAAACUUCAGAUCAUAAACAUGACUCAAUGUCAAUCUGUGAGCAUACCUUUACUCACCCUUUUCAUGUCACGCUUGUUUUUGUUGGAUGGGACCUUGGGACCUUGAAUCAAUGUUUUACAUUGAGCUUACACAACUUCACCUUUUAAUGUGUAAGCAUGAUGUUGGUGAUUUAGGAAAGACAUUUUGUCAGCUUUUUUUUUUUUUUUUUUUUUUUUUUACAGCUUUAUACAAUUGUAUUUUGUGUUUUGUAUUCAUCAUUUUGGUUUCCUGAUAAAAAUACUAAAACCUAGAAAGAAAAAAAAAUGGGAUGAAGAUAACCAGUGGUUUUCGAUAUUGUCUGCAAUGUUAGCAUUAAAAGAUAGCAAUGUUUAAAUGUUGUUGUUUUUUUUUUUUUUUUUUUUUAGUACCUUUUGAAACACAAUGUAAGAAACCACAAUGUGUGCAUUUGUUUUCUUUUUCGGAUAUUAGAAACACUGAAACUAAACAUGUUCAGAAAUUAGCUACAAAAAUUCAAAGUCAUCUAGAAUAAUCGCAAUAUUUUAUGUUUUCUAAAUCCAUUACCUCAUUAUUCUUUAACUCCUGUUUUUGAAAGGAGACAGAACCAGCCAAGAAAGUAAUUCAGCUCAAGAUCUCUUAAGCAUUGCUGUGUGUUUGCUUCAUAGUUUUGAGACAUUGUAAAACUUUAAAUUUGUGUGGUAUUCUAAAACAAGACUUGUCUGUAAUCAUUUAAAUGUAUAAUACAUUAAAACACUUGUAUUGCUACUGCAUA